GAUGAACGCUGGCGGCGUGCCUAAUACAUGCAAGUCGAGCGAACAGACGAGGAGCUUGCUCCUCUAACGUUAGCGGCGGACGGGUGAGUAACACGUGGAUAACCUACCUAUAAGACUGGGAUAACUUCGGGAAACCGGAGCUAAUACCGGAUAAUAUAUUGAACCGCAUGGUUCAAUAGUGAAAGACGGUUUUGCUGUCACUUAUAGAUGGAUCCGCGCCGCAUUAGCUAGUUGGUAAGGUAACAGCUUACCAAGGCAACGAUGCGUAGCCGACCUGAGAGGGUGAUCGGCCACACUGGAACUGAGACACGGUCCAGACUCCUACGGGAGGCGGAAGUAGGGAAUCUUCCGCAAGGGGCGAAAGCCUGACGGAGCAACGCCGCGUGAGUGAUGAAGGUCUUCGGAUCGUAAACUCUGUUAUUAGGGAAGAACAAAUGUGUAAGUAACUAUGCACGUCUUGACGGUACCUAAUCAGAAAGCCACGGCUAACUACGUG
rnacentral:rRNA from 1 species